rnacentral:rRNA from 1 species
UACAGAGGGGGCGAGCGUUGUUCGGAAUUACUGGGCGUAAAGGGCGCGUAGGCGGCCUUCUAAGUCGAACGUGAAAUCCCCGGGCUCAACCCGGGAACUGCGUCCGAUACUGGAAGGCUUGAAUCCGGGAGAGGGAUGCGGAAUUCCAGGUGUAGCGGUGAAAUGCGUAGAUAUCUGGAGGAACACCGGUGGCGAAGGCGGCAUCCUGGACCGGCAUUGACGCUGAGGCGCGAAAGCUAGGGGAGCAAACGGG